AGCAGCCGCGGUAAUUCCAGCUCCAAUAGCGUAUAUUAAAGUUGUUGCAGUUAAAAAGCUCGUAGUUGGAUUUUGGGAUUGGGUGGCACGGCCUGCCGUAAGGUAGUUUGCUGUGCGGUCCAACCUUACUUCCCGGAGGCUGCGUUGUGCCCUUAAUUGGGUGCAGGGUGGAGCCGGGGUUUUUACUGUGAGAAAAU
rnacentral:rRNA from 1 species